AUUGCUUCUUGGCCUUUUGGCUAAGAUCAAGUGUAGUAUCUGUAAGUGUUGACCCAGUAAGCUGUAUUCUUCUGAGCUUAGGAAUCUUA
ensembl:snRNA U2 U2 spliceosomal RNA